GGAGUAUGACAGCCCAGUGGAGGGAGUGGGGGGGGUGAGGGCUCUGUAGGGGCUGGUUUGCCCUUGGAAUGGGUGUUUCUGGGAUGAGUUGUUUCCUUUCCUCUGGAAAGGGGAGACAGGGAGGGGGUCUGCCCUUAGGAGGGGUCUGUCUUUGGGCCAAAAAUCUCCAGGAGGAUCUUGUUUGAUUUUAAAAUCAUGACCUUGGAGUUCCAGCUGGCCUAGCUGUUAAGGAUCUGGCAUUGUCACUGCUGUGGCUCAGGUUCAGUCCUUUGCCCCAGCAACUUCUGCACGCCUUGGGUGGGGCCAAAAAGAAGAAAAAAAAAAAAUCUCCUAAAACCCAAAAGAUGUAAAAUCAUGACCUUGAACGGGAGCUUAGAGGUGACCUAAGGCGCCCUCCGCUCAGGGCACGCGGACUGGAGUAUUCACUUCUCUCCUCUGUACUGGAGUCGCUCGCAGAGGUCUCAGGUUCGAUGGCUCUCAGAAGCCCACAGCCCUCCCAGCCCAUGACUCUGGAUGAUGGCCCAGUGCUUUCUGACCGUGGGGUGAGUCUGCUUGUGGGAGAGGAUCCCUGUCUUUCACAGAAAUUGUGCUCCUGCGCCAAGCAUCCGUGUUGCUGCACAGGCAGCCCAGUGGCCUGCUCUCCUGCAGAGCCUGACAGCAGGAAGAGCGACACCCAGGAGCCUGGCUGACAGCUUGAGGCUCUCUCGCCAUUUAAGGUCUGAGGAAGGUGGAGCAGCAGCAGGAGCCAAGGAGAUUUUUGAUGGCUUUUUUCCUUCCUUUCCUUUCCUUCCCUCAUAAUCAUUUUCAAUUAAAAGUUUAGUUGAUGCUAUGAAUUUGGAAAAAGGGGAAAAAGUCCUUCUGGCCUCUUAUCAUCCCCUAGAGACGUGCAUGUUUUAUUUUGUUUUUUGGUUUUUGGCCUCCCUUCGCCUAUGGAUUUCCUGGGCCAGGGGUAGAUCUGAGUCAGAGUUACGAGCUGUACCACAGCUAUGGCAAUGCUGGAUGCUUAACCCACUGCGCUGGGCUAGGGAUUGAACCUGCGCCCCAGAGCUCCACAGAUGCCACUGAUGUUGUUGCGUCACAGCAGGACCUCCAAGACAUGCAUGUUUUAGAAUUUAAGCAUUCUCUCUUGCCAUGUCUAGAGGAAAGGUUUGUUUUUGAGCCAACCUAAAAUAAAGCAAGGUACUUCCUUUUAUGCUCUUACCCAGUUUUAAAAAUGUUUUCCCUUUAAGAUUGUAUGUUUGCGCAGUUAUUGUUGAAUAUUUUGAGACAGGCAGAACUGGGGACCUGUGACUCUGGGCCAGUUACUCGCUGCGCCUCAGCUUAUUCAUCUGAAUAAUGGGAAUGAUAAGCGUUGAGUUCAUCUCGGUCUGACCUCGGGUUAAUGUGUAAGGGGGGCAGCUACCUGCUUUACACUGGGCGGGGGGGGGUCACUUGUUACCAUUACUUUUAUCAUUCACUGUGUUCUCGAAAGGCCUUAUCCUCACCUGAAACGGAAGGGGACUCGCUGCUCUAGGGAACAGGGAAGAAACCCUCAAUUCCCGAGGGCUUCCCGUCUGCAGUCAUUUUACUAGAAACUUGAGAGAAGCCGCCUUUCUGCUUUGAGUUUGCCCGCAAUUACCAGAGGAAGACCCUUGCGAGCGUUGCCAAAGAGAAAAAUGAGGACGCCAGCUUAAGUAAAUGUCAUCCCCAUCUCUGCAGAAUCGUGAUGUGUCCGAUUGUUUCACGUGUCGACUGCAGGGUAUUUAUUAUUCAGCGAUAAUAAUAAAUCGCUGCUUAGGAAAUGCGGGGACUCAAGUGUCACGACGGGAGGAAGGCAGGUGCGGGGGAAGAGCUGGGGGAGACAGAGGUCCAGCCAGACCCGGGCUAUUAAUCAUCGCCCUCCAUUAUUUCCUGAAGAUUCAUUCAUUGUUCCAUCGGUACCUAGAGGGUCAAUUAGAGACCACAGACAGGCUUUUUCAAAGACACAGGAGGGUCAAUUAGGCCCUCCUUAUAAUUUUCUGCUUUAACAGCAAAUGCCAGCCUAGCGCACAUCAGAUGCAAGGGAGUUUGGAAAUAAACAAGGUACUUCCCUCCUCCUUUAAAAAGAAAGAAAGAAAAAACAAAACAAAAGGAGAAAUGGAGGCAGCUGGCCCCAGCAACAUAUGGCUGCCUGGCAGGCUCUGGGUCAGGUGAGGCAGAGGGGAGCUGGCCAGGAGGCGUGGGGAGAGCGGAGUUACUGUGGGGUCAGAGCACAGGAGCGGUCGGGAAAUUCCUCUGAUGCAGGAGCCUGGUCCCACGUCCGCAGUGAUUCAUUGAUCUUGGGCCCCCUGUGAACUGUGCUGGCCUGAGGACACAGUUAGGAAGGACCUACAAGCGAAAGGCUACCUGAAAGCAGUUGACAUGAUGCCCAGAAGGGCACAUGCUGGGUCACCCUCGUCCCCCACGAGCCUGGGUCCACAUUUAGGGAAGAAGUGAACUCAGCAUGUGUAAGUAGGAUUUUGUAGGGCAGCAUGUUUUGUUUGUUUGUUUUCCCUGGGAUCAGAAACAAAGUCUGAAACUGUGACAGUGAAAUUAAAAGAGGAAGGGGACUGCCGUGAGUGAGGGGCAGGCGGGCAAAGGGGAGAACCCCCUGGACCCGCUUUUCUCCUUUUUUGAAGUGGGGUAUUAGGUUUUGGUUCCAUCCAUUUUUGAUUACCUGCCUAGUCUUGUCGAUAGAAUGACAGACAAAUGAUUGUUCUUUUUUUUGUAAAAGAAAAAAAAAAGUUGUGUACCUCUUGUAUUGUUUUGUUCAAGCUGGUUGGUUGGCCCAUGUGACUUUAUUUUAUCGCUCUGUCUGUCUAUUUAUCAGCUGCACCUGCAGCAUGUGGAGCUUCCUGGGUUGGAGGUCAAACUUGAGCCACGCUGCUGCGGUGACAAUGUGGGAUCCUUAGCCUGAGGCUGCAAGAGAACUCCUAUUUUUUUCUUUUUCUUUUUUAUUGAAGAAGAGUGGCUGUACGAUAGUAUUUAAGUUACAGAUGUACUGUAGAUUCACCGUUUUUAAAGGUUAUACUCCAUGUACAGCUGUUAACAAAUGUUGGCUCUCUCCUCCGUGUUGUGCAGUGUAUCCUUGCAGCUUGUUUUAUACCUAGCACUUUGUGCCUCUCAGUCCCUUACCUCCCCGCCCUCCCCCUCUCCUUCCCUUUCCCCACUGGUCGCCACUUGUUUGUUCUCUCUGUAGCAUCUCCUUUUUUGUUAUACUCAAUAGUUUGUUGUAUUUAUUUUUUAGAUUCAGUGAAAUCAUACAUGUUUGUCUUUGUCUGUCCAAAUUGUUUUCAGAGCUGUUUUUCUUUGGUUCCUAAGAUCCUGUUCUCCCUGGGCGCCAUCACAUAGAGAUCUGGAAGCACAAGAGAAAGGCUUUUGAUAUGCAAAAGCCAAUUCCAACUUGAGCGAUUUUUUUUUCCCCCCGGUAUCUCGGUAAUAUUUCUUAGCUUCAGAAUGGUCAAACUUAUAUUGGCAAAUGCUGAGCCCUGACUGUGUGUGGGCACUAUUCAGGAUGUUGGGGUUCUGCAUGGGAACAAGGGGUGCGAGGCCCUUUGCCCUUCAGUCCUGGGCUGCUGGCACCUGUGGCCUCUGGGGUCUCUUUGACGCUUGGGCCCUUGGUCCUGCCUGAUUUUCAGAUAAAGGGAGUGAGCUCAAAGCUCAGAAUGGUGAACCGGUAUGGAUUGGAGACUUGGUUCAAGUCCCCUGAACACUGCCCUGUUUUUCUAUUUCCCCAGAAAGAGGACAUGGGCGUGCCUUCCUCCAGGGCAGGGAUUUUGUCUAUUUUGCUUUUACAGAGUCUGGAACAGUGCCUGGCACUUAGUAGGUUCUCAGUGAACAUUUGCUGAUGGAAUGGACUAAUGGAUGGGGCGGGGGGCUGUGAUUCUGGGGACCCAGCCUCCUGCCAAGCCUCCAGAGACGCUUGCUCUCACCCCCAAGCUGCUGAGGCCCCAGCCUGCUCCCGCCUCCCACCUCCACCCCUACCCCCAUGGGAUCCACUUUCUUUUCAACGCUCUUGCUUUCCAAGACCCCGGCUAAGAAACAAGCACAUCUUCCAGCUCUUGGACACUCCCUGUGCUCAUUUCCAGUUCCUGUCCCAGAGGUCACACGUUGGUGGCUGGCAGAUGUCUUAUGUUGAGCCUGGUGGGGUUUUGUUUUCUCCAUGAAAUCAAUUUGUUGCCAGCCUUUUAAACUUUGGGAGACCUCACAUCACGAUUUGGAUUUCCUGUUGCUCUUGGUGUUGCUCUUGGCAAAGCAGCCCUGGCAUCAUCAAAGCCAGGCGGUACCAGCGGCUGCAUUUGAGCAGUGGCCACUUCUCUCUGGGUGGGCAUGUGCCCUCUGCUUCUCCCUAGUCCCCAGCCGAUCUCCUCGGCUUUAGCCUGUCACCCUAGGUGGCACUUACACUAAUUCUGGAGCCACCCACUUGUACCCCGGCUGGUCAUGGUGGCUUACCAGAGAUCUUCCUGACUCCAGGCCUCUGAAUCAUUGAGCUGACCAGCGUCUUGCUCCCCAACCCCAGAUCUGCCUCGGCGGUCCUUCUAUAUGCCCAUCCUUCUGACUAGAAUGUUCUUUAUUCCUUCUCUAAACUAACUUUGACCUUGGAAAGACCUGCCUGACCCCUAGCAUUGAGUGUGUAGUGGAUACCUGCGUUGUCCCCGUAGUGGCCCUCUACAACUGUGACUACGUGGUGGGUAUCUGGUUACUACUCUGCAGGUCCCCCGUGCUGUUACUCUCCCCCCCAACAAAGCCUUUGCUGCUCAAGGUCACAUUCUCCUGGGGGAAAGGACAGGUGGUUCUCUAGCUGGAGCCUGACAUAGAAGAGGGACAGAGCUGACAAAGCUGAGGCUGGAAGUGGAUUCAAGGCGAAGUCCCCAUGUGCCUUGGGGACCCCAGCAAGACUCUGGAUUUUCUCGUCAUGGCAGUGGAAAGCCCUGGAGACGUUUAUGGAUAUUUUGCUUCCCUACAUUUCAUAAGGGGUCCAAGUGCCAUUAGGCCCCCUGCAGCCUCAGUCAGAAGGAUGGCUUUGCUGGACUGGCAGCAGAGGGGGUCUGGGAACAGUCCAGGCAAGGGACAGUGGAAGGCAAAGCCAGGGAGGGAUGUAGAUGUGGCCACUAGCAGAGUCUAAAGGGGCAAGUAGUUGACAUUCAGGAGCUAAGACAUUAUCUAGCCAAUGAAUUUAUAAUAAGGACUGUUCCACUCCCCCCGCCAGCCCCGUCCCCCGAGCAUCGCCUGUAUCACCAUGGUGAGACUGUCUCUUCUUAAAACACUCGGAGAGCAGUGGAUCCUAGUACAGCAUAGGAUGGUUAAGCAGCGCUAAUGGCAGAUAUGUAAUGGCUUGGGUGUAGCAGGCAUAUGUUUUUGUGUAUUCCACGUGGAUUUUCUUUGCCUUUUUUUUUUUUUUUGGUUUCGUCUUUUCAACUCUCCUCCUUAAGGGAACCCCCCCUUCUUGCCAUAGCUUCUUGGUAGAAUGUUCUCAUGGCUUCAGCCAUGUGAACGUGUAUCCAGAACGGACAGGAGAACCCUCAGCCCCAUGAUCUUACAGACCCCCAGUGGGCAGGCACAAACCCACAGCUUCCAUGCCUUUUUCUUCCCUUUAUUUCCUGCUUUACCUCAAUUUAUGACUUGGCUUACAAUCUGUUGCAGAAAGGCCCAGUCCCCAGCUUCCUCCAGAAUCUACAUUUUUCUAUUUUGUCUGAAAUAGCCAGGGUCUCAGGAGUUUGCUGUUAUAUUGCUUCAGAGAAAUUAGUGACAUUGAAGGGUUCUCAUCUUUUUGUGUGUGAUUUUGGUUAUAACAAGAGAUUUAUAAAGCUGUUCUUUUUUUUCCCAUCUCUGAAGCUUAGGAGAUAAUAUUAGAAGAUAUUUGAUAGAAAAAUACCCAGGGUAGGGCUUUUUUCUAUGUCAUGUGUUCAAAUAAGUCAUUGCUGCCCAAACCAGGUGCCUUUUGUAGGAGAAAUUGAGAAUUCGGUUUGGACUGAUUUUUUUUUUUUUUCACUUGACUUUGUGUAGGACAUGGCAUAGAAAAAUAAUUUCAGUAGAUGCUGGUCUAGAUUCACCAGCCACCCAUAUACUGUUACAAUGAUGAGUAGUACUUGAUAGAAAUAUUGUUUUGGAAUUAAUUAAUUCUUUAGUAAUUAGUUAAAAAAAAAAAAA
ensembl:lncRNA